UUUUUUUUUAAACGUCUUCCGAGUCCAACCUGAAAAGCUGCUCGGUGGGAGCGAUCGAUCGGGGAAGCAAAACGACUCAACUUAUAUCUGCGUGCACUGUGGCAAACUGUUUGUUUUUAUGGACUGUAGGGCUCAACAAGCAGUAUUACUUUUUAAAGAUUUAUAGAUUUAUACGCUCUCUAGAAAAACUGAGCCGUGGAAGCGUCGUUGUAAUUUUUAUCCCUAAUAGUGAUUGGAUUUCCCAUCGCUGACUCUUGGGGUCGCUGGUAAAUUAUGUAGCGUUCUAUGAAACUUCCCGUUUGGGCUGUAAAGCGAAGGAAGUUGGACAGCUCCUUAGGAAAUGUAUUGACUUAUUGCAACGAAUUCGGAAGUUGUAUUUGAAAGGAGGACCUCGCCACCUUGAUUUUGUCCAUAGCAAACAUGGUCACUGAUUACAAACUGAAGAACUGCAUUGAAAAGCUGAAAGAGCAGAUUUAAUCCAUUGGAAUUAAUAAUUAUUAAGUUCUGGAGGCAUUUCCUCUGAUUCGCUAUCUUCAUCUUCAUUAAAAGCUGCUGCUACUGAAAGGG